rnacentral:tRNA from 1 species
ACUCUUUUAGUAUAAUAAGUACAAUUGACUUCCAAUCAAUUAGAUUCAGCUAUCCCCUGAAAAAGAGUA